rnacentral:lncRNA from 1 species
ACCCACAGGGGACAGUGGAAAUGGAAGGAGGAGUUAUUGUUGGGAUAUAUUUUUAAGGUGGAGUUCAAAGAUUUUACUCUGUUCGAAGAUAUGAAUGUUGGUGGGGGGGAGUGAAUUUUUGGUGGACUAUUAUUCAGCCAUAAAAAAGGGGGAAAUUCUGGAGUUCUCCUUAUGGCUCAGCAGGUUAAGAACCCAACAUAGUAUCUGUGAGGAUGCAGGUUCAAUCCCUGGCCUUUUUCAGUGGGUUAAGGAUCCAACGUUGCCAAAAGGCCCACACAUGGCUGAUAGGACCACCAGAUCACCUCGUACGAUCAGAUCUGUCCAUUUGGAACGCUUGUGGGUUGCAUCAUAUACCUGGAAAGGAUAUGUGAGGUCCUGACUCCGGCUAUACCUGUGAACGUGACCCUGUUUGGAUGUAAUCAGGUUAAGAUGUGGUCACAACGGAGUGCAGUGGUCCCUAGUUCAGUAUGACUGAGGUCCUUAAAAUAAGAGUAAAAUCUGGACACAAACAUGAGGAAGAGGGCCACGUGCAGGUGAGUUACAUGCCAGGAGCCAAAAUGGGCUUGGGGCCAUGAGAAGCUGGAAGAGGCAAAGAAGGACCCCCCACACUCACACACCAGAGGCUUCAGAAGGAGCAUAGCCUAGCCAACAACUCCAUUUCAGACUUCUAGCCUCCAGAAGGUCAAAAAAUAAAUGUAUCUUGUUCCAAGCCAGCUAGUUUGCUGUAAUUUGUUACAGCAGCCCUAGGAGUCUAAUGCAGGAACUUCAGGCAUUUUGGAUAUAUUAUACAUAUAUAUAUGUAAAUCUGUAGAAUAAAGGUAUUCUACUGCUUUUACAGAUGUCUCAAAAGAUGGCAUUUUUAAAAAUCUCAUCUCAGAAAAAAAAAUGCACAGAAUCCACAUCGAUGCCCAUAUUUAUUUUUUCCCCAAGUAAUUAAACAAAUUUAAGGUGGGUGGUGCAGCCUAGCUUCCCCUGAUUUCCAGUGAAUAGGGUUGAUGAGUCAGGACCAUUAUAUCUCUCAGAAAGUGCCCUGUAAAGCAAAAUCUGAGUGUUGUGUUUACUAAAGUGAUACCAUAUGUUGGUUGAUUAACAAGUUGUCAGAAUAUUAGAAGUUCUUGGCUGAUUGCAAGAAAGAGCAUCUGUUUGCUGAAUCUUGGAUCCAGUGUGUGUACAGAUAUCGCCAGGUUUGGCACUUUUCCUAAAUAUCAGAUAUAAAUUUUUGCAGUAUUUAGCCUUCAGAGAGUAACACUGAUGUACUGCUGGGGUUUAAGAUAUUUAUUCUCAAGAAAGCAAAUGAAGUAAAGCCAAAGAGAGAACGUAUACACAUAAGAGUAUUGUUGCAUCAUUUGUAAUUAUUUCACCAUUUUAUCUCAUAUCAUCUCCUACAACUGUUUUCUUGAAUGUCACUUGCAUAGUAAUUUAAGAAAAAAAGAUGAAAUCUCCUUUGCUAUUAUGUUACCUAUUGAUAGAAUUUAAUAAUGCCUUCUAUUUAUAAACUGACUUACAGUUUACAAAUGCUUAUUGGUUGCUCACAACCCUGUAAUGAUGGCAAAAAAAAAAAAAAAUCCCCGUUUCACAGAUAAAGAAUCUGUAGUUGAAGUGAGGGGAAUCCAUCUGGCUUGGAAGUGAUAGAACUUGGACUUAAAGCCUGGUCUUUUGAGCACCAUUCCUGGACUACUUGCAGGUUCCACAUGUAGCAGUUCAGGAGCUGGUUGUGGGGGCUGUGGCAGGACCUAGUCAGGGUGAAAUUCUGGAGUUUUUCUUUGUGCCUUUUUAUACCCUCUCUUUGAUUCAGUCAGCCAUCAUAUAAUGGAUUGUGACAUUCUAAUUCCAUCAACUAGAUUCUGUUGGGCCGGGGGGCGGGGGGACCUUUUCCUCUACCCUCUUAGGUUCAGUGUCUGGGGGCCUGCGAAUUUAACUGACCAAAAAACAGAUUAGGAGGAGAAAAGAAAUAUACAUUUCAUCGAUAUCAUUCAUGCGUGAGAGUUCUCAGAAAAGAAGUUAAAUGCAAAGAAGUGAUAAACUCAGGGACUUAUCUAUCAUUUUAACAAAGGCUCUCCUUUGUUUGGGCUUUGAAUGAGUAGAAAAUAUAUGGAGGGAAACUAAUGGAAGAUAAGGGUUAUUUUAGUAAGGUUUGUUUAUGCAGACUCAUCUCAGGGCUGACUCUGUCUGCAGUGAUAAGAGUUGCCUUCCUCUUCCCAGUACAGGAAUGGGAAACACCUUCAUAAAGGAAAGUUUAUGCCCUGCUUUUAGGUAGAAAGUGGAAGGGCAGACACUUUCUCCUGGGUCUGCUGUUUCUUAAUUGCUUUCAGUUCAAAAUAAUCCUUAUGCCAAAGUGGCAUAUUUUAGAAAAGCAUGUCCUGAUCCCCUUCAAUUCCUUCCCACGACUUAUCAAAGCAGACAUGAAAUAAGUUAAGACAGAAAAAAGGGACUCUUCUUAUGUUAACUGAGUUCAAAGUUAGACUUAUAUUUCAGUUCUUUCAUUUCCUUUGAAAUUUCUCAGCACUCAGUUGUCUUAGAACUAAGCACUUCCAUGACAUGACGUAAGUGUCACCUUUUCCUUUUGCCUUGAUUUUUUUUCCCCUGUAUUUUUAUAACAUAUAUGAAGGCUACCUUAUGGAGAAGUCUUUUAGUGUUUCAGGGGCAAUGUGGUAUAUUAUAUCAAAAAAAAUGAGUAUUUCCUUUUAAGUAUCCCACGUUUUAACACUUCAUUUAAAUUGCAAGUCAGGUGUUACUUUGGGGGAGUUUUUUCCUGUCAUUCUCUUUCUUAUUGUAGAGGAAAGAAUCUUUUCUUCUACCACUCUUAAGUUCAGUGACUGAGGCCUGUAAACUAAGUGGACAAAAGACAGAGCAACAGUUGAAAAAUGUUUAUUUCACAUGCACACUAGAAACUGCACAAUAAAAUCAUUGAAAAACCCUACAAGCAAUAAAAGAAAAGAGUUUGGGGCUGGUAGAUGCACACUAUUACAUUUAGAAUGGGUAAGCAGUGAGAUCCUGCUGUACAGCACGGGGAACUCUAUCCAAUCUCCUGGGAUAGAACAUGAUGGAAGAUAACACGAGAAAAAGAAUGUAUGACUGCGUCACUAUGCUGUAACUGGCACAACACUGUACCAAUUCGAAUUUCAAUUAUACUCCAAUUUUUUAAAAAAGAAAAGAGGUUUGGGCUUCUAGAGAAGGUUGUGAGAAGGCAAAUAUAUGGGAGAAACUCCUGGAGGAUAAGGAGUUAAUAAGAUGUGUUAUGCAGACUCGAGGUGGUACUGUCCGAGGCAUCUCCCCUUCCCUGUAUGGAGGAGGAGAAGGGGACGCCUUCACAAAGGGAAAUUUAUGCCCUGCUUUUAGGCAGAAAGGGGAGGACAGAGAGUUCCUCCUGCAUCUGCUAUUUUUCAAUUGCCUUCAGCUCAAAAUGAUCCUUAAGCCAAAGCACUGUAUUUUGAGGUGGCCUGUUCUGAUCCCCUUCAUUAACUUCAAGGACCUCUAUGGUCAGGCCCUUCCCUGUAUUUCCAGUCACAUCCCCGACCACUCAGUUCCUGAGCCUGCUCUUCAGUAAAGUGCUUCACUUCUUGCCCUCUUACUGAACUCCUGCUUCCUACUUGUAUAUCUGCCUGCAAUACCAUUUGCCCUCCUCCCCUUCUUUCCAACAUUACCCAACCUUUAGCACAAGAGCAAACUAAUUUUCCCAUUUUAAUACCUCCUCUGACCUCCAGCCACAUCAGGUAGCUGCUGCUUCUAACCAUUCUGGGCUCUUUGUUGUCUGAGGAAUGAAUCUGACAGUCUGUCAUUUAGCCCUUCAGAUGUUCAGCGGUUGUUUGAACAGUUACAUAAAUCGUCACUUGUUAUUUAAGUUCUCCCAUUUUGCUCCCUUUUGUCUCUUUAACCUCAAUCCUCUGCCCUCGCUCUCUGUAUCCUGGAGGAAUGCUUCCUAAAGUUAGGAAGAUCUGCAUCCAAAUCCCCUGGAUUCUUGUUGAAAAGGUAGAUUCUGGGACUGAUCACAGAUCGGCCUGUUGGCUUCUCAGUUGAUUCUUCUGCAGCGCAAAGUUUAUGAGUCACUGAUUUAGACAGCACAUCAUUCAUUCAUUUAUUGAUUCGGCAACUAUUUGAGCAUAAAUUAGAUGCCGAGAACCUGGGAUGCAGCAGCGAUUGAAGAAGAGACAGUCCCUGUUAUCUUGUAAUUUCUAACUUCUAAAUAGACAGUGAACAAGGACUUAACAGUACAUUGUGGGUUACAAAGGAGAGAUAUAAAGAGCUGUGGGAAUAUCUAGGAGGGGACCUAAUCCAGGGGGGCAGGUGUCCGGGACUGCUUACCUGAGGAUGUGGAGUCGAGAUCUGAAGGCGGAGUAGGACCUGGCUAGAAGGAGAGGGAAAGGAAGCAGGAGAGAAGGAGGGGGCACAGCAUGGAUGAAGCUCUGGGAUGAGUAAGAGCCUGGCCUCCUCUUUGGAGGGACAAGGACCAACAUGGCUUGAGUCCUCAGGCAGCCGGGAGAAGGUGAUGGGAGAAAGAGCCUAUAACAAGUUACAAGGUAACAAGUGGCAGAUCAUGCAGGACCUUGAGGCUAAGGAGUUUGGAACUUAUCCUAUGGGCAGCUGGAAGCUAUCUGAGAUAGGUUUCAUCUUUCAGACCCUUUUGACUCCAGAAUGGAGCAAGAGUGUGUACCUGGAGACCAUUUGAGAAGCUUUUGGCAAAUGUCCAGGAGAGAGAAGAUGAUGGCUUUAUCAAGGGUGGUAGAGGUAGGGUGGAUUCAGAUGGUACUUAUGAUCUGAUGGUACUUAGGAGAUGGAUAAGGAGGGACUUAAUUAUUAAUAGGAUAUUGGAGUUAAUGGAGUGAAAGACAAGGAAGGGAAAGGGAUGUCUUUCAAUUUUGUUUUGAGAAAAGUUGUUGAAGCCAUGUGACCCUGAGAGAGGACCAAGGUGUGAGGACAAAAGUGUAAGUUCAGCCCCAGAUGUGCAGAUUUUGAAAUACCUAUAAAACAGGUGGGCCCUGUCAUGUACCUUUUCGUAUUUCUCACAGAAGAGGUGGAAUUUUAGUGGGCUUUGAGAGAACUGUAGAAAUAAUUAACACCAAUGGGGAUCCAGUUAGAAGAUUACAAAUAAAUUUUUCCCAUCAGAGGGGUUUCUUUCUGUCUUUUGUCUUACUUGGUACUUGGUGAUCAGCUGAGUUCUAUAUUCCUUAAUAUAGAAAAAGUGACUCAUUUCUCCCAGGAGAUUAUAAUGGUUUUGUUUGUUUGUUUUAUGUUUGUUUAAAAAGUGGUUUGGGGAGUGCUCAUCAUGGUGCAGCAGAAAUGAAUCUGACCAGGAACCAUGAGGUUGCGGGUUCCAUUCCUGGCCUUGCUCAGUGGGUUAAGGAUCCAGCAUUGCCGUGAACUGUGACGUAGGUUGCAGACAAGGCUUGAAUCUGAUGUUGCUGUGGCUGUGGUGUAGGCUGGCAGCUCCAGCUCUGAUUUGACCCCUAGCCUGGGAACCUCCAUAUGCCA